rnacentral:rRNA from 1 species
AUUGAACGCUGGCGGCAGGCCUAACACAUGCAAGUCGAACGAGUGGCGGACGGGUGAGUAAUGUCUGGGAAACUGCCUGAUGGAGGGGGAUAACUACUGGCAACGGUAGCUAAUACCGCAUACCAUCAGAUGUGCCCAGAUGGGAUUAGCUAGUUGGUGAGGUAACGGCUCACCAAGGCGACGAUCCCUAGCUGGUCUGAGAGGAUGACCAGCCACACUGGGACCUGGACACGGUCCAGACUCCUACGAGAGUCAGCAGUGGGGGAUAGUGCACAAUGGGAGCAAGCCUGAUGCAGCCAUGCCGCGUGUAUGAAUAAGGCAAUCGGGUUGUAGAGUACGGUCAGCGGGGAGGCGUUACCCGAGGAAGGAGCACCGGAUAACUCCGUGCCAGCAGCCGGGGUAAUUC